rnacentral:rRNA from 1 species
GAUCCUGGGUAUGACUAAGCAUGCAGUCGUGCGCUCUCAAGCUAUGUUGAGGGCGCGGCGAACGGCUCCGUAACACGUAGUUAACCUACCCUCGGGAUGGGGAUAACCCCGGGAAACUGGGAUUAAUACCCACUAGAUGAUUAUGCCUGGAAUGGCUUAUCAUCGAAAGAGCCUGGAAACAUGCUUCCAGCUUCGCCCGAGGAUGGGACUGCGUCCGAUCAGGUUGUUGGCGGGGUAACGGCCCACCAAGCCUAUAACCGGUACGGGCCCUGAGAGGGGGAGCCCGGAGAUGGAAACUGAGAAAAGGUUCCAGGCCCUACGGGGUGCAGCAGGCGCGAAACCUCCACAAUGCGCGAAAGCGUGAUGGGGUUAUCCCGAGUGCCGUCCGAUGAGGAUGGCUUUUCAUCGGUGUAAGGAUCCGAUGGAAUAAAGGGGGGGCAAGUCUGGUGUCAGCCGCCGCGGUAAUACCAGCUCUCCGAGUGGUAGGGACGAUUAUUGGGCUUAAAGCGUCCGUAGCCGGCUCAGCAAGUCUUCCGUUAAAUCCAGCGAUUCAAUCGUUGGACUGCGGAAGAUACUGUUGGGCUAGGGGACGGGAGAGGCCGACGGUAUUUCCAGAGUAGGGGUGAAAUCCUGUAAUUCUGGGAGGACCACCAGUGGCGAAGGCUGUCGGCUAGAACGAGCUCGACGGUGAGGGACGAAAGCUGGGGGAGCGAACCGGAUUAGAUACCCGGGUAGUCCCAGCUGUAAACGAUGCGGGCUAGGUGUUAGGGUGGCCACGAGCCACUCUAGUGCCGCAGCGAAGGCGUUAAGCCCGCCGCCUGGGGAGUACGGCCGCAAGGCUGAAACUUAAAGGAAUUGGCGGGGGAGCACCACAAGGCGUGAAGCGUGCGGUUUAAUUGGAGUCAACGCCGGG